rnacentral:rRNA from 1 species
CCUACGGGAGGCAGCAGUGGGGAAUUUUGGACAAUGGACGAAAGUCUGAUCCAGCCAUGCCGCGUGCGGGAAGAAGGCCUUCGGGUUGUAAACCGCUUUUGUCAGGGAAGAAAUCCUUUGAGUUAAUACCUCGGGGGGAUGACGGUACCUGAAGAAUAAGCACCGGCUAACUACGUGCCAGCAGCCGCGGUAAUACGUAGGGUGCAAGCGUUAAUCGGAAUUACUGGGCGUAAAGCGUGCGCAGGCGGUUAUAUAAGACAGAGGUGAAAUCCCCGGGCUCAACCUGGGAACUGCCUUUGUGACUGUAUAGCUUGAGUGCGGCAGAGGGGGAUGGAAUUCCGCGUGUAGCAGUGAAAUGCGUAGAUAUGCGGAGGAACACCGAUGGCGAAGGCAAUCCCCUGGGCCUGCACUGACGCUCAUGCACGAAAGCGUGGGGAGCAAACAGGAUUAGAUACCCUGGUAGUCCACGCCCUAAACGAUGUCAACUGGUUGUUGGGAAGGUUCCUUCUCAGUAACGUAGCUAACGCGUGAAGUUGACCGCCUGGGGAGGUACGGCGCGAGUAGUAACGUAAGUAAGUAGUAGCGNGNGAGAGCGACGACGACGACGAGGAGGAGG